rnacentral:lncRNA from 1 species
UGCGCGGCUGCCAGCCGCCACUAUCGCUCACUCGUGCGUCACCUCGUCUCCUCUCCACACGCGUUGGCGGCGCCGGCGGCGCCUCUCGCCGCCCGCAUUCUGCCGGCCUCAGCCACCGACGGAGCGUCGCCUGCCCUCAGCCCCCGCCGGCCGCAGCCCCGUGCCACACGCCGACCUCGUCGAAAGCAGCAGCGGGAGCAGCAAAAGGUCCGCAUGGAUCCCUGCGGGAGCGUGCUGUUUGGCCCUAAAGCCUCUGUGUCCAUGGUGUGUAUCCAAAUUCCAAAAUCUCUUUUAUGGUUGUUCCAAUUAUCCUAGACUUCUUGGCUGUUUGAUUUUGAGCAUCGAUGAUAUGCUUUGUCAAGAACAAAACAUGGAUCUCCUAAAAAUUAUUUGGUGGUUUAUAAAUUGCGAGUAAUAUUUCCCAAAUUCCAAUCCAGA